rnacentral:misc_RNA from 1 species
UACGGAGGGGGCAAGCGUUGUCCGGAAUUGUUGGGCGUACAGCGCGCGUAGGCGGUUUAUCAAGUCAGGCGUGAAAGCCCCGGGCUCAACCCGGGAACUGCGCUUGAUACUGGUUGACUAGAGGCCGGGAGAGGGUAGUGGAAUUCCCAGUGUAGAGGUGAAAUUCGUAGAUAUUGGGAAGAACACCAGUGGCGAAGGCGGCUACCUGGACCGGUACUGACGCUGAGGUGCGAAAGCGUGGGGAGCAAACAGG